GUUGAGCUUGAUGAUGGCUCUGAAUGAACGCUGUCCAAAUGCUUGACACAUGCUAAUCGAACGACUUCACUCCUAUGGAGGGAUGUAGUGGUGUACAGGUGAGUAUAAGAUAAUGUAACUACCUUGGAGUAAGGAGAAAGAUCCCUUAUAAUAAUAAAGAAAGUUAAGUUUCGCUCUUAGAUGUUCAUAUCUCGUGCGUGGUAGUAGUUAAGAUUAAAAGCCUAACUAGCUAAACGCACGUAGUCGUAACUGAAAGGUUGAUCGACCACAGUGGGGCUGAAGAAAACCCAUGACGAUAGUCACAGCAGUGAGGAAUUUUGGUCAAUAGCCUAACGGCUGAACCAGCAACUUGGAGGAAUGUAUAGCAAUAGCUACUUGUAUCAUUAAUGAUGCAAGCUCGACUAUGUUGAAUAAAAUUCUAGGUAGAAUUAUGAUAAUGACAUUGUCUGCCUAUGUGUCUUGACCAAAUUACGUGCCAGCAGUCGCGGUAAUACGUAGAAGACUAGUGUUAUUCAUGUUUAAUCGGUUUAAAGGGUACCUAGACGGUGAAUAAAGCUUUAAAUAAAUAAAAAAAGGGACUAAUUUACUAGAGUUACUUACGAGGGGGUAUUAAAGUACUGCUGGUGUAGAGAUGAAAUUCUGUCAUACCUCUUUCGAAAGAAAAAUCAUGGCACAGGUAUAGGCGAAGGCAUCCCCUUAUGUGAUAACUGACGUUGAGGGACGAAGGCUUCGUGUAACAAACAGGAUUAGAUACCCUAGUAGUUGAAGCAGAAAAUGAUGAAUGUCAUAGAUUAGACGUCUAAGUUUAUUCUAUAAAUGAAAGUGUAAGCAUUCCACCUCAUGAGUAAUUUGGCAACAUUGGAAUUGAAAUCAUUAGACCGUUUCUGAAACCAGUAGUGAAGUAUGUUGUUUAAUUUGAUAAUCCGCAAAAAACCUUACCACAAUUUGAAUAUUUAUAUUGUUUAUUGUUAUCUCAUUAAUUUUCUUCUUUUUUUUUACUUUAUUAAAAAACUAAACAAUUAAAGAACAAAAACAGGAAUAGAGAAUAAAAUUAAUCAAGAGGCAAUAACAUAUAUCUACAAGCGUUGCACGGCUGUCUUCAGUUAAUGUCGUGAGACUUUGGUUAGUUCCAUUAAAUUAACGUAAACCCUUACUUUAUUUUUUAUAUAGAGUAGUUCCCCGCUAUAUUGGAUAUGAUAACAGGGACUAAGACAAGUCAUCAUGGCCUAGAUAUUGUGGGCUAUAGACGUGCCACAUAAACCUUACAAAAGGGUGUGAAAUUGUGAAAUUGAGCUAAUCCCCCAAAACUGGAUAUACACUCACAAUGGAUUGUAGUCUGUAACUCGACUACGUGAAAUAGGAAUUACUAGUAAUCGUGUAUAAGUACGGCACGGUGAAUCUAAUCUCAGAUAGGUACUAACCACUCGUCAGGCGCCGAAAAAAGUAUGUGCAAUAAGUUUGGCUAGUGUUUAUUCUCAAUUUAGGCGAUUUGGUCUAAUAACUUAGGCAUGGUGUCUUCGUAUGCGUGACUUUGAUUGGGGUUAAGUCGAAAUACGGUUCGUGUAGUGGAAAUUGCACGGGAUUAAUAAAUAUUAAAA
rnacentral:rRNA from 1 species